AUACGUAGGGGGCGAGCGUUGUCCGGAAUGAUUGGGCGUAAAGGGCGCGUAGGCGGCCCGGUAAGUCUGGAGUGAAAGUCCUGCUUUUAAGGUGGGAAUUGCUUUGGAUACUGUCGGGCUUGAGUGCAGGAGAGGUAAGUGGAAUUCCCAGUGUAGCGGUGAAAUGCGUAGAGAUUGGGAGGAACACCAGUGGCGAAGGCGACUUACUGGACUGUAACUGACGCUGAGGCGCGAAAGUGUGGGGAGCAAACAGGAUUAGAUACCCUGGUAGUCCACGCUAUAAACGAUGAGUGCUAGGUGUCGGGGGUCAAACCUCGGUGCCGCAGUUAACACAUUAAGCACUCCGCCUGGGGAGUACGGCCGCAAGGCUGAAACUCAAAUGAAUUGACGGGG
rnacentral:rRNA from 1 species